CCUUAUCGGAGCCGUCGAUUAAGGGCGCCGUCACAUCGCGUAUUUCUUCUUCGCAAGCCGAAUACGCGCCUACCUUUUUGCGAAUACUCUGCGCAUAUCUGACAUACUUCGUCUCCGUUCUGGCGUUCUCUCUCAUCUCUCGUCCCCAUUCCAUUCCUUUUCGUCUCUGUUCUCUCUCACCUCUCUUCUCCAGUUCGCUCCACUCCCAUAACACCGCCCAUUCCUGGCCUCCUCAUUCCUCUGCUCGCCGGCCAUCUGCAUCCACGCCGCUACCACGUCGCCGGCCAGCCCCUCGCGUUGCCUCAUUCCUUCCGGUGCCAUGGUAGCCAGGCAUCUACGUUGACGGCGCCCUAGCUUUGUCGCCCACCACCUUGCGUCCACAGGCACUGACGAGUGACGACUGGCCACUCUCUGGGCGUGUCCCCAGAUCUACUCCGGCGGCUCGCAUCCGCUCUCUGAGGAGCUGCAAGCAUGAAUCUUAAACUCUUACUGAUUUUUUUUAUUGCCGUGUAUAUACCCCUGAUUACCUGCGAUAUUGUGAUAUCUCUGGCUUCAAUAUCAACAAGAAAUAUGGGUUUUGUCGGUUAAUGAGAUUUUGUACUUGCGUGUCUGCUACACAUCGCUUCAAGAAUUUUCAAGAUGUCCCAGUCCAAGUUAAUCAUCAGUAGAAGUUUGUCCGUAGUGGAGAGCAAAGUUCCCUUAUUGUUCUAAUGCAGAGAAGAAAACACACUAAAACUUUUUGAGGCAAUGUCAAGAAAAAUACACACUUCAACUAUACCAGCAUCUCUUGGUGUAGCUGACUGUAGAGUAUGCUCUGCCCUUACCAGUAACAGAAUAUGUGAGAUUUGCCUCAACAUAAUUGUUAUUUCUGUUAGGGUUCAUCCAGGACAAAAUCCUAUUCCAGUUGCUCCAACCUUUUAUAUUGAUGAACUCAUGUAUGUUUCUUGAAUUUGCCAACACUAAUACUGUUAUCUAGUUCGUUGAGAUGAGAUGCUAAACGAAGUAUCAAUUUCCAAAUUUUUUACUACAACACUACUAACAGUUCCAUUUCAACUUAGCCAUGACUUAAUAUAAUGAUAUACAUAGUGAAGCAAUCUUCCUAAUGUAGAGACGAAUAUGCAUUUCAAGUAUACACAUAAACACUACUUAUUCUGCUUUAACAAGACUACUAUAUAUCAUAACUAGUUCCUUAAAAAGUUCUGGCACAACAUUAGAAACUGAGAUUAUUCUUCUGUUCCCUUUUAUCUUGCAUACUAAUUUGUCAUCUCAUCAACAAUAUUUUUAGGUAAAUGUGGUCAAUCUAUUGUAUUUGAUCCAUUUUGAAAAUACAAAAUGUUUAUAUUCAAUUAUCUCUGCUUUAUGAACUGUAGUGUCCAAGUUUAGGCCCAGCUCUUUCACCGUGCAUAUUCUUGCUGGCUCUGCGCACUAGUAAAAAGGGUUAUUUUUAUUUGCAGUUACAGCGCAGUAGUUCAGAACUCUCUUCAUGAAAUGAUCCCAGCUUAUUGUGCAAUUUAUUUAUCUCUAGCAAAUUUACACUUUAUUCUGAUUUGAAAUAGUGGCAUAUAGAUGUAUCAUUGAAUGUGUUUGCUUAGGAAAAGAAUCAUAACGAUUGCAUGCCACUUUUUUUUUGCUUUAAACAGCCUAUAAAAUGCUUCUCAGAAAAAGAAAAUUUAUUUUCCAAUUAUAUUCUCCACAUCAUACUUUGGAGGCGGUCAAAACUCAAAAGUGUCAUCUUAUUUGGGAAUAUAUGAAGAAUAUGUAGUUAGGAUUAGGAAGAAUUUUGAUAUGCCACUCAUUUAUCUGAACUCAAUAAAUGAACCAUCUCAUUAAAAGAAUUAGGUUCCAGACCUUGGUGUUUUUCAUCAAUUUUGGUCUUGUUUAUAUGAUCCAAAUUGAGCCAAUACCUUAGAGCCAAUAUUUUUUCUAAUGCAACUGAAGAACCCCUUGUGGAAUCAGUUGUGCUUUUAGAGAAGGAUAGUUAUAGAGGUAAUGUUAUAUGGACAUGCAAGUAUUGCACAUCUGAGUAUAGGGGAAGUUACUCAAGAGUAAAAUCUCACUUGCUGAA